UACGUAGGGUGCAAGCGUUAAUCGGAAUUACUGGGCGUAAAGCGUGCGCAGGCGGUUAUGCAAGACAGAUGUGAAAUCCCCGGGCUCAACCUGGGAACUGCAUUUGUGACUGCAUGGCUGGAGUACGGUAGAGGGGGAUGGAAUUCCGCGUGUAGCAGUGAAAUGCGUAGAUAUGCGGAGGAACACCGAUGGCGAAGGCAAUCCCCUGGACCUGUACUGACGCUCAUGCACGAAAGCGUGGGGAGCAAACAGG
rnacentral:rRNA from 1 species